UGGGGAAUUUUGGACAAUGGGCGAAAGCCUGAUCCAGCAAUGCCGCGUGUGUGAAGAAGGCCUUCGGGUUGUAAAGCACUUUUGUCCGGAAAGAAAUCCUUGGCUCAAUACAGUCGGGGGAUGACGGUACCGGAAGAAUAAGCACCGGCUAACUACGUGCCGGCAGCCGCGGUAAUACGUAGGGUGCAAGCGUUAAUCGGAAUUACUGGGCGUAAAGCGUGCGCAGGCGGUUUGCUAAGACCGAUGUGAAAUCCCCGGGCUCAACCUGGGAACUGCAUUGGUGACUGGCAGGCUAGAGUAUGGCAGAGGGGGGUAGAAUUCCACGUGUGAGCAGUGAAAUGCGUAGAGAUGUGGAGGAAUACCGAUGGCGAAGGCAGCCCCCU
rnacentral:rRNA from 1 species